rnacentral:snRNA from 1 species
GCUCACUUCAGCAGAGCAUUUACUAAAAUUGGAACAAUACAGAGAAGAUUAGCAUGGCCUGUGUGUAAGGAUGACAUGCAAAUUUGUGAAGCAUUCUAUAUUUUU